GCCGAACCGUCCAAACGUUAUUCGGAAUCACUGGGCUUAAAGGGUGCGUAGGCUGCCCGGUAAGUUGGGUGUGAAAGCCCUCGGCUCAACCGAGGAAUGGCGCCCAAAACUGCCGGGCUCGAGGAAGAUAGAGGUGAGCGGAACUAAGGGUGGAGCGGUGAAAUGCGUUGAUAUCCUUAGGAACACCAGUAGCGAAAGCGGCUCACUGGGUCUUUUCUGACGCUGAGGUACGAAAGCUAGGGGAGCGAACGGG
rnacentral:rRNA from 1 species